rnacentral:tRNA from 1 species
UUCCUGGUGGUCCAGUGGUUAAGACUCUGCGCUUCCAAUGCAGGUGGCCAGGGUUCAAUCUCCGGUCAGGGUA